CAAAAACAUCGCCUUCUGAAUAAUUAUAGAAGGUCCAGCCUGCCCAGUGACAAAGUUAAACGGCCGCGGUACCCUAACCGUGCGAAGGUAGCGCAAUCACUUGUUCUUUAAAUAAGGACUAGUAUGAACGGCAUCACGAGGAUUAUUCUGUCUCCCCCUUUUAAUCAGUGAAACUGAUCCCCCCGUGAAGAAGCGGGGAUAAACCUAUAAGACGAGAAGACCCUAUGGAGCUUUAAACUUACACCACUUGUCUAUACACAAUUCACAAUAAACAGACAAAACUAACGUGCUAGUUUUUGGUUGGGGUGACCGCGGAGCAAAAUAAAACCUCCACAAUGAAAAGACUUCCAAUCUUUAUCUAAGAGCAACAUCUCAAAGAAUUGGUAGACCAACACAACUGACCCAAACAUGCUUUGAUCAACGAACCAAGUUACCCUAGGGAUAACAGCGCAAUCCAUUUCAAGAGCUCAUAUCGACAAAUGGGUUUACGACCUCGAUGUUGGAUCAGGGUAUCCCAGUGGUGCAGCCGCUACUAAAGGUUCGUUUGUUCAACGAUUAAAACCCU
rnacentral:rRNA from 1 species